ensembl:snoRNA SNORD116 Small nucleolar RNA SNORD116
GGAUUGAUGAUGAGUCCCUCAUCAAAACAUUCCUUGAAAAAGCUGAACAAAAUUAGUGAAACUCACUAUAGUCUCGCUCAUCAGAACUGAGGUCC